rnacentral:misc_RNA from 1 species
CUAAGUCCAGCGGGUAUCCCUGCCUGAUCCGAGGUCAAGAGUGUAAAAAUGUACUUUUUGGACGUCGUCGUUAUGAGUGCAAAGCGCGAGAUGUACUGCGCUCCGAAAUCAAUACGCCGGCUGCCAAUUGUUUUGAGGCGAGUCUGCGCGCAGAGGCGAGACAAACACCCAACACCAAGCAAGGCUUGAAGGUACAAAUG